rnacentral:lncRNA from 1 species
GAAGCAUCAAGUGGAGGAAUCCUGAAUUGCUAAGCUUUGGAGUGUUAUUCCUACAGUUAACCUAUUAUCUCUUAAUCAAUAAUGCUGCACUCUGUGAAGAACAUACUUCAUCCACAACAUCUGUGAAUUGGCAAACACUUUUGAAAUGCACAUCCACAAGAUGUAUAUGACCAGACGAUCCUGUAAAGAAAAAAAAAAGAAGUCAGAGAUAAUUUGUUCCCACCAAGGAUGAGG